rnacentral:rRNA from 1 species
CUUGAACGCUGGCGGCAGGCCUAACACAUGCAAGUCGAACGAGUGGCGGACGGGUGAGUACUUUCUGGGAAACUGCCUGAUGGAGGGGGAUAACUACUGGAAACGGUAGCUAAUACCGCAUACCAUCGGAUGUGCCCAUAUGGGAUGCGCGUGUGGGUGGGGUAACGGCUCACCAAGGCGACGAUCCCUAGCUGGUCUGAGAGGAUGACCAGCCACACUGGAACUGAGACACGGUCCAGACUCCUACGGGAGGCAGCAGUGGGGAAUCUUGCACCAUGGGCGCAAGCCUUAUGCAGCCAUGCCGCGUGUGUUAAGAAGGCCUUCGGGUUGUAAAGCACUUUCAGCGGGGAGGCGUUACCCGCAGAAGAAGCACCGGCUAACUCCGUGCCAGCCGCCGCGGUAAUAC